rnacentral:rRNA from 1 species
GUAGGGGGCAAGCGUUAUCCGGAAUUACUGGGUGUAAAGGGUGCGUAGGUGGUAUGGCAAGUCAGAUGUGAAAUCCACGGGCUCAACUCGUGAACUGCAUUUGAAACUACUCUUCUUGAGUAUCGGAGAGGCAAUCGGAAUUCCUAGUGUAGCGGUGAAAUGCGUAGAUAUUAGGAGGAACACCAGUGGCGAAGGCGGAUUGCUGGACGACAACUGACGGUGAGGCGCGAAAGCGUGGGGAGCAAACAGGAUUAGAUACCCUGGUAGUCCACGCUGUAAACGAUGAAUACUAGGUGUGCGGGGACUGACCCCCUGCGUGCCGCAGCUAACGCAAUAAGUAUUCCACCUGGGGAGUACGAUCGCAAGGUUGAAACUCAAAGGAAUUGACGG